rnacentral:lncRNA from 1 species
CUCUGGGGUGUCUGAGAUCAGUCACCUUGAGGUCCCUGGUGCAAUCUAGGGCCAUCAGAAGGGACUGCAAAGACCCAAGGGCAGAGCCCUCCCAGCUCCCCCGCCCGCCCUCGCUCCCGCUGGGCCCCGCAGCCGGAGGAGGGGCGGCCUCCCGCCCCCGCCCGCUGGAUCUCAGAGUCGCCGCCCCCGGCGCCGGGCUGCAACCGCCACGCCCCGGGAGAGGACCGACCGCCCAGACCGCCGGUCCCGGGGCCCCCUGGGCCACGCCGAUCACGGGGAGCCCCUCGACUGCCUCCCAGAGCAAAGUGAGAAAGGGAAGCUUAGCCCGCCGCUGCCGCCUCCGAGCAGCCCGCCAGAUUUCCAGUUGUCCCAGCACCAUUUGUUGAAAAGAGUCUUUUUC